rnacentral:rRNA from 1 species
CCUACGGGACGCAGCAGUAGGGAAUAUUGCUCAAUGGGGGAAACCCUGAAGCAGCAACGCCGCGUGGAGGAUGAAGGUUUUAGGAUUGUAAACUCCUUUUGUUAGAGAAGAGUAUGACGGUAUCUAACGAAUAAGCACAGGCUAACUCCGUGCCAGCAGCCGCGGUAAUACGGAGGGCGCAAGCGUUACUCGGAAUCACUGGGCGUAAAGAGUGCGUAGGCGGGGUAAUAAGUCAGAUGUGAAAUCCGGUAGCUUAACUACAGAACUGCAUUUGAAACUGUGACUCUAGAGUGUGGGAGAGGUAGGUAGAAUUCUUCGUUUAGCGGUUCACUCCGUAGAGAUCCAGAGGAAUACUCAUUGCGAAGGCGACCUGCUGGAACAUUACUGACGCUGAUGCACGAAAGCGUGGGGAGCAAACAGGAUUAGAUACCCUAGUAGUC